rnacentral:lncRNA from 1 species
AUUGAAACCGCAUUUCUUGAUACUAUUUGAAAGUACGCUCUAAUUUGAUUGUUUAGAGCCUAGGCUCUAUACAAACUGCACCCAUUAUAUAAAGCACAUUGUCCCCGGACUUACUAACCCAAUUAGUAAAGGAUUUGCACAAUUAGGAAAGGAUUUGCACCAGAACAAGAGAUGACAAUAGUCCCAAGGACUGUGUAACUUCCGAUCACCCCGAAUUUGUAGACAGGAGGUCGAGGGUCGGACCCUUGAAGUUUGUUCCAUACCAUCCCUGAGUUUUAUCGGUACCUGAUUUGUUUGAGGAAGGAUUAAGGGAAGUUCUGUCCUCAUGAAAACCAGGCUAAAGUACAUACCGGCAGAAGUUCAUCUAGAAUCCUGGUUUGGGCUCGACUAAUAUAUCAUACAUAGGCCCCAGCAGAGCUUCAACUUUGUUCUAAGCUUCGAUAGUUGUAUACUACUCGUCUGAUGCGAGUUGGACGGUGAGGUCUCUCGAGAUCAAGCCACUUCCUGGUCGAGUACCUCACCGACAUUUUGGAGACGUUUGAACUUCAUCAUGGUAAAGGAUUUCCCAGGUGAAAGGUCCAUCAAUGGAAAAAGACUUUCCUACCAAAAUAUGCACGAUAGUGCUUCCCCUCAAAACUGCACUGACAAGGUGCUUUUGGGGUUCCACUUUUUCCUGGUGCUCCCUGGUUUCCCAUGAAACAAACAUGUAGAAAGUAAGACGAUUACUCAUAUUUUUCUUCUCUUCUUCCACUUAAGAGAACAAAGAAGUAGUGCUACAUGAAGUGGCUUAAGGGACCUAACCCGAAGAAGAUGGAAAGAAAAAAAAAAAAAUCCAAGGGAAAAGUUAAAUCUUGAGAAGGGACGAGAUGAUUGAACCAUAAGUGAGUGAAGUGAAUUGCAAACGUGAACAAGGAAGGCAGGAAACGGUACGAGAGCCCUCUCUCUCUCUCUCUUCCACUGCAUCCAUGAAGUGCAAAAAUACUUGCCGAUCAUUUGCCGAGCUAGGGUUUCACUGACGCAGCAGUUGCAGAGCUUGGUUUAGAAAGAAGCGUUUCGUUUACAGAGAGAAAAGGGUAGGUUUGGCAAAGAAAAACCUGGCUCUUACUUGGCCCACAACGACUCAGCAGCUGGUGCCUGGAUCACAAAAGCUUUCAUCUCUUGGAGGUUUCUUCUCGAUCAGGCUUCUUCAGAGAUCUUCGCCGUUGUCUCUCAAGGCCCUUCUACCCUACUCCCAUCCUUCGGCUUCUUUCCCCCUAAUGUAACAUCAUCUUCUAGUCUCUCUCCUCCGAUUUUUUCUAUUAUUUCAGGGUCUAUUUCCUCUUCUGGCCCACUCCCCCUGUCUUCCCCUUUUCUCUCCCCUCUUUUCCUCUCAUUUGCAGCUAGUCCGUAAGGGAUAACUACCAUAGGAUGAGGGACAAAUGAUGUCUCAGCUACGUCCUCUCAACAUCUCUUGGCUUGGUAGUUCAUCACUACUCAGUUUGGUAGGUUGGAGGCAUUCCAGCUCCCGAGGACUAGUCGUGGACUUAGCAAUCUCCUUCCACCCCUUUCUUUCCCGGCCCUGAAGCAUGUACCCACUCAGCUUUGACAGCCGAAUUCUUUCCAACUCCUGACAACUACUCGAGGACCCAGAAUCCUCCUGCAUCUUACUUUCUUUAGUCCCUAACCCCCUUCUUAAUAGGUAUCUUCUUUUUUGUAUUCCAUCUUACCCUUUAAGCCUCCCUUCUCCCUUCUCCUUAUGUACUUGGUGCACCAGUUUAUAGGGUCACACCUUUUUCUCCUCUUUUUUUGAGUUCUUUCAGUUAUUUACUCUCUCUUCUUCUCCCCCUUUACUCUGAGCAACCAUCUUGUGGGUAUCGAUUGGCCACAUCUUGUGGAUCUUGUGGGUAUCGAUUGGCCACAUCUUGUGGGUACCGAUUGGCCACAUAGGAAAAGUCAGAAAGGAUUGAACCAAUGUCGGGUUCCCACUUCUAGACAUGGACAUGAUCGGCCAAGUUGGGAAAGAGAUACUCAGAACCAUGUCAGGUUCAUCCAGCAUCACUGGGUUGAGCUGACCCACUAAGCACCCUUGCAAGCCACCCGCCACACACUUAUAAGCCACUCACUACUGAUGGCCUUG